rnacentral:rRNA from 1 species
AUCUGAGUUUAGAACGUUGUGAAACAGUUUGGUCCCUAUCUACGAUAAAUGUUAGAAAAUUGAGGAGAUUAUUCUUUAGUACGAGAGGACCGAGAAACGCAAACCUAUGGUGUUCCGAUUGUCUUUUGUGGCAUCGUCGGGUAGCUACGUUUGUUUUAGAUAAUCACUGAAAGCAUCUAAGUGAGAAACUGACUCUAAAACAAAUUUUC